GAUGAACGCUGGCGGCGUGCCUAAUACAUGCAAGUCGAGCGAACAGAUGAGGAGCUUGCUCCUCUGACGUUAGCGGCGGACGGGUGAGUAACACGUGGAUAACCUACCUAUAAGACUGGGAUAACUUCGGGAAACCGGAGCUAAUACCGGAUAAUAUAUUGAACCGCAUGGUUCAAUAGUGAAAGACGGUUUUGCUGUCACUUAUAGAUGGAUCCGCGCCGCAUUAGCUAGUUGGUAAGGUAACGGCUUACCAAGGCAACGAUGCGUAGCCGACCUGAGAGGGUGAUCGGCCACACUGGAACUGAGAAACGGUACAGACUCCUACGGGGGGCAGCGGUAGGGAAUCUUCCGCGAUGGGGGAAAGCCUGACGGAGCAACGCCGCGUGAGUGAUGAAGGUCUUCGGAUCGUAAAACUCUGUUAUUAGGGAAGAACAAAUGUGUAAGUAACUAUGCACGUCUUGACGGUACCUAAUCAGAAAGCCACGGCUAACUACGUG
rnacentral:rRNA from 1 species